UCCAACCUUUAAAUAAAUCUAUUAAUCUAGAAAUUGAUGGAAUUUGUAUUAUGUCAAUAUGUAGCUAUGAUUUCUUUAAAUAUCAAUUCCAUUUCUAUAUAUUGAUUGCCAAAAACUGUCUCGACUCUCCCUUUAAUGUACUGUCACGCUCUAAACUUUGUUUGCCCACACGUGUCGUAUAAAAUACAGGAAAAGUUGUUCAGCGAAUAAGUGUACAAAAUCCUUUGUUACUCUUAUAAAAUAUGUUUUGUACACGAGGACUUUUUAAACUCUUUUAAAAGUUUUUUUUUUCACGAUCGCAUGAAAUAAGCAUGUC